AUUAAAUCCUUAUAUGCCCAUAAUCUCAACAGACUAUUUAUUUUAUUUGAAAAAAGUUUAUGAUCAAUAUUUUUAUUGUUAUUAGAUGAUAAAACAUAAAUAGUACUUUAUGUGUGACUAUUUUUUAAAAAAAAUUCAUAAAUUUUUCAAAUAAGACGAACGGUCAAAUGUUGGACACGGAUACCCACGGCUGUACUUAUU
rnacentral:pre_miRNA from 1 species